rnacentral:lncRNA from 1 species
CUAACACAAAAAGAAAGAAAAACAAUAGAGGAGAAUUCAACAGGGAGAAUGGAAGGGAAAUCGUGCAGAUUUUUUUUGGGAAAAAAUAAAAAGAAAAUACUGACAGAAUAUCCGAUAACCACCAUUAAUCCCUUAUUUUUCUCCUAAAAACAGUCCACCCCAAUCCCACUAUCUCUCAAACUCCCCAGUCCACCACAUUCCUUCAACAACCGAAUUUAAACUUCACUCAAACACUUCAGUAUUUUACUUCCCUUCAAACUCCCAUAUGGCACAGAUAACAAAAAAAAACUCCCUUACAUGCACAAAUAUUCAAACUCAAGACCAC